UACAGAGGGUGCGAGCGUUAAUCGGAAUUACUGGGCGUAAAGCGCACGUAGACGGUUCUGUAAGUCGGAUGUGAAAGCCCCGGGCUUAACCUGGGAACUGCAUUCGAGACUGCAGUACUGGAGUAUGGGAGAGGGCAGUGGAAUUUCCGGUGUAGCGGUGAAAUGCGUAGAUAUCGGAAGGAACAUCAGUGGCGAAAGCGACUGCCUGGCCCAAUACUGACGUUCAUGUGCGAAAGCGUGGGGAGCAAAC
rnacentral:rRNA from 1 species